rnacentral:rRNA from 1 species
UACAGAGGUCUCAAGCGUUGUUCGGAUUCAUUGGGCGUAAAGGGUGCGUAGGCGGCGCGGUAAGUCGGGUGUGAAAUCUCGGAGCUUAACUCCGAAACUGCAUUCGAUACUGCCGUGCUUGAGGACUGGAGAGGAGGACUGGAAUUUACGGUGUAGCGGUGAAAUGCGUAGAUAUCGUAAGGAAGACCAGUGGCGGAAGGCGGG